UUGUUCAGGGCACAAUUGAUACACUUCCAUCAAAUUAGUUAUGUUGCAUUGCGUACUUGAUAUGGAGAGAAAGCCUUUUUGAAGCAGUUCCCUCAGGUGCCACGCAGACCUACAGGAUCUCUAUUGAGUCUCAUUUGGCCCAGUGUGAGGCAAAAGACCGGCAGAAACAUACAGGAGGAAGUUGAUACGUCUAUGUAUGAUUCUACUGCAGAUUUUCGGUAUCGCGGGGAUGCGUGCGAUGGAGAAACAAACACUUAUUAUCUGCAUGGAGGUCUUGACAGUACCAAGUCAGCAAAACAUGACCAGAAGAAAAGGAAAGACCUUAUAUACUCUGCUGAUUUUCCUUGUGGAAACAACGCAGCUGAGUCCCAACUGCGUGCAUUGAUGGGAAGUUGAGGCUCGAAGUGUACCCCAUUGCGUAUUUGAUACGGAGGGUAAGCUCUAUCAGGAAAUUAGUUUUGUUUUAUAAAUCGAUGUGCUAAUGGGUUUUGGUGUAAAAACUUAGUGCCGAGAGACCUUGCGCCUUUUCAUGAAAAUAAAUUUUGUGAUGGCCAUAAAUUAGGGUAGAAACAUGAAAUCUUUGUUUUGUAGUGGCUGCUAUCCAGUCUAAAUGUUGCAAUCAACUCACAGCUGCAACAUUUGUUCUAGUGAACCAGCAUUCAUGGGUGUCAAAUUUACUCUAUUCUCUGAAUUGAUUUUACAUCUUUCCGUGUUUUUCACAGUUAAAAGUAGUUUUCUGAUA